rnacentral:lncRNA from 1 species
GCUGAGGCUUCAUUCCACCUUUAACAGAAUGUGUCAUGAUUUGACUGAAGUUUACUGAAAGAAGUAGCAAGCAGAAAAGUCAGCUAGCACACAAAUAGACUUGUGCCCUUCAAACUAAUGAGCUUACCAGUGGCAUUCUCUGGAAUUGGUGCUCUUUUGGAAUUGCGAGGAACUUUUAUACCAGUUGUAUGUUGUUGUGCUUAAAGCUGUUGUAUUAACAGAAGUGUAAGAGAAAGCUUCUCUUGGCCUGCCAUGAGGACAUUAUCCAGCAGGUGGAGUUUGACAGGAUGGUGUGCACAGGCCAAGUAGACAAGGGCGAACAAGUUACUGGCACUCAGGAGCUGAAGAUUGCAUGAGCAUUGAACACCUAAUAGAUUGGCACAUAAGGUAAUCAGUAAUGCUUCCUCCAGCUAUUCAAAAUUAAGUGGGGGGGGGGGGGGGGGGAAGAUCAGUGAGCAUCAUGGCUGCUUGCCGACUUUAAAUCCUAAUACAGAAUAGGUGGUGACUUUCAUGUUGUAGAGGAUAAGAACAUUGGUGUGAACAUGGCAUUAAAAUCUGCACGAUGUAACCAUCAGUGAGUUGCAAACGUUUAAAAUUGCAAGCAUCUACAAAAUAAGUAUAUUAUGAGAACCA